CCUACGGGUGGCAGCAGUGGGGAAUAUUGGGCAAUGGGCGCAAGCCUGACCCAGCAACGCCGCGUGAAGGAAGAAGGCUCUCGGGUUUGAAACUUGCUUUUAUGGGGAAGUGGAGAAGACGGUACCCCUUGAAUAAGCCACGGCUAACUACGUGCCAGCAGCCGCGGUAAUACGUAGGUGGCAAGCGUUGUCCGGAUUUACUGGGUGUAAAGGGCGUGCAGCCGGGAGGAGAAGUCAGAUGUGAAAUCCCGCGGCUCAACCGCGGAACUGCAUUUGAAACUGUUUUUCUUGAGUACCGGAGAGGUAAUCGGAAUGCAUUGUGUAGCGGUGAAAUGCGUAGAUAUAAGGAAGAACACCAGUGGCGAAGGCAGAUGACUAGACGGCAACUGACGGUGAGGCGCGAAAGCGUGGGGAGCAAACAGGAUUAGAUACCCUUGUAGUC
rnacentral:rRNA from 1 species